AUCGCUACCCGGGGACUUGACAGCUAUGGACUAGAUGCACCUGGUUUCUUCACUUCGGUGUACUCCAUUCAAACUUCAUUGAAUGGAACUGACUGGAAAAUGUAUUUGGAUGGCCUGGGGCAAGUUAAGAACUUUUCCGGUAACUACGAUAAUUUUACUCCAGUUAAGAAUGUCUUCAAUCCCGUCAUAGAGGCGAGGUUUGUACAAAUUGAUAUCCAAGACUUCAAAGGAUAUCCAUGCUUACGGUUUGAGUUAUAUGGUCAACGCACCAACACAGAAGUAAACUGUGACAUCACUGUAUCUGAGCCAGGUUAUAUCGAAUCCCCGAACUACGGAGGUUACUAUGGCGAGAAUCGAUACUGCGGUUGGGAUGUAGUUUUUCCAAAAGGCUCUUUUGCUGUGUUAAAGUUCGUGGAGAUUGAUCUAGAGCCAAAAGAAA